AAGCCAUAAACGCCUUUCGAUCAAUCUUCUAAAUAGCUUUCUUAAUAGUAUUUAGUAUUUAAUAUGCUCGUCAUAAAUUUCACUCAACGUGAGCUUAAAAUAGCGUAUUCGAUUGCUCUCAUCUAAUGUCUUUCUAUGUUAAUUGAUAAGGUAUUCGGUAUUCACACGCCGGUCCGGCUUUAAGAGAAACUUGACACAGCAUUCGGUCCGUCCACGCGCGCACGGCGCUUGGCCUUUGGCCUCAGCCGCGCCAGAUCUGGUCACAUCAAUUAGUUUUGUCACCCAGGACGAUUGCCGACCAGGUGUUCGAUGGUUGGAGUGGAGUCCGGCCGACAUGCCGCCGACCUCCGCCUGCAUCCUUUCGCAGCCCAUCAACGUCCAGCCUUCUUCGCGAGACAAGCAAGCUCUGAUCGAUUUCGUCCUUCAGCCAUCACAUCGCAUCCUUGGUUUUAGUCUUCGGAUGGGGAUAGGUUUCGGUUUUCAUGCUGCUGUUUGAUUUCUGGAUCUCCUUGUUGCUGAGCACAGCUCUCGGCUUUUUGGUUGUCUUUGUGUUAAAAGAUAACUUACAGGUGGUAUCUGAUAGUAUUAUGAGGCAAUUGAACAUUACAAGGUUCCACAACGCAUGCUUUUAUCUUCUUCUGCUCGUAGAUUCCUGUGUUCAAAAUGCCAUUCAUUAUGUUCUCCUCAAGUUUCUUUUAUUCUUUGAGGUGGUUGUGCCAUGGAAUCUUUAUACUCGAUCCUCAAAUAAUUCGGUGGUGGUCACUCAAAUUCAGGCACCAAAAACAUGGAUAAUAUGUUUACACUGUGAACUCACUGUUGAUAAGCCCAAAGAAAUAUGUAUAACAGGUAAGAGUUAAAAGUAAUUCUAGCACAAGCAGGAUUGAAUCUGCAAAUAAUUUCAAAGAGAUGGUAUCAUGAGAUAGUAUCAAAGAUACCUGAGCUGAUUCUUCUGUUUAUAUUUUGGUCAAUUGCAUUCUGUGAGUUAAUUCUGGUUAGUGGUCACUAUGCUUUCUUAUAUGCUCUAUAUCCUGGCUUGUGUCAUUCUAUUAAUGUUCGUGGCAAAGGAGCUGAUACUCUUGGUGGUUGUUGUGUAUGUGCUUUUCCCAUUAGUUAAUUGUUCUUGUGCUUGUCCUUGACCUUAGUCCUUGUGCUUCUUUAUUACUCCUACUCCUAGAUACCUUUUUUGUGCUCUGAUGAUUUGUCUCAUGAUGUUAUGACAUUGGUUUCGACCAAACCAGAAAUGGAGUAGGUGGUGAUAACCAAAACAUCUACAGAUAUCAUAUCACCACAUUCAGUUUCCUUGCAUGAUCAUUAUUAAUGACAACAAAGUUCUCAGUAGGACUCAAAACAGCAUUGCUGUUAAUUUCGCUCUAGUGACUGGUACUUUGUCAGAUCAAGAGGAGGUAUGCAGGCAGGUGCCGCAAAUUUCUUGAAGGAAUUGCAGAUGAUGAUGAAAGUCUGAUAAGAGGUGCCGUUUUUUCAUUUUACUUCUUUUGAAAUAAUUUAGCCUAAUUUCACAAAGGUGGGACCUGAGCUUUUGCUAUCUAUCUGUUGGUGUUGCGAAGGAUGAGUUUCAUGUUCUUAAAUUCAAACAAAGAUGAGCCUUUAAGCACUUCUAGUUAUGUCUGUGAUCUGGCACUGCAACAGCCCUUGUACUAACAUUUUGUUGUGUUAUUUUGCAGUUUAGAUGGUGUCCUAUAGAUCGGUGAAUUUAUUGAACUAUAGUAAUCGAUUUGAUGUGAUGAAGAUGCAGAAAACCUUUUAAGUCAAAUAAAGCCAGAGACUCCAACUCGGUCUCCACGAUUGACCCAGUCGGUCCAUGUCAUUGUCAACUGCACGAACGGCCAAGAUCGCUUCAUCGAGCGACCCCGACAGUGUCACUUGUGAUCGGACGGGCAACAUCGGCCGAUGCCCCUCACCGAGCCGACGCGGCCGUUACCGACACGAACCGGCGCUGAAGAAGUGAAUAAAAAGACGCAAUCUCGUCGAAGCAACCGCGAGGCGUCGACCGGGAUCGCACGUGCGUGAGGUCCACGCAUGGCACGGGCGUUGAAGGUUGUGAGACAAGUGGGAGCCACGCACGUGCAAGGAACGCGGGACCUCCCGUGAAAUAAAAUAAACGCGCAACUCCAAAGUCUUCGUACCGGUUGGAGUCCACAUGUCCGCACGAGGGGUGCGGUCCAGCCUGGCCAGAACCCGGAGAAGGGUGUGAUUGGUAAGCCGUUGAGAGUAGUUCCCACGUGGGUGACGGAUAGCUCCCGAGCGUUACUUAUGGGUGUCGGUGUCGGUGUCGGUAGCCUCUGUCGAGGUGGAAGGUUAGUCCGAUCUAAUUCCGAGAUUUGACUGACUACUGCGUGAGAAGUAUUCCUGAAACAAGAGCGAAGGUGCAAACGUCUCUCCUCCUGGAGCAAGGCUUAUUACGUCGAGGGUGCCUCUUCUUGACGAGGUCAAGAUUCCUGUGAUACUGGAGUUGAAGAUUUUGAGAUGGAUUAAUGUGUAAUAGAAAGAUAGAUAAUAUAACCUGAUGCAACAUCAACCCCCU